rnacentral:rRNA from 1 species
UACGGGGGGAGCAAGCGUUGUUCGGAAUUACUGGGCGUAAAGGGCGUGUAGGCGGCCAUGUAAGUCGGGGGUGAAAUCCACUGGCUCAACCAGUGACGUGCCUUCGAAACUGCGUGGCUUGAGUAUGGCAGAGGGAAGCGGAAUUCCAGGUGUAGCGGUGAAAUGCGUAGAUAUCUGGAAGAACACCGGUGGCGUAUGCGGCUUCCUGGGCCAAUACUGACGCUGAUACGCGAAAGCCAGGGGAGCAUACGGG